AGGUUAAGCAAGAAAGGGCGCAGGGUGGAUGCCUUGGCACUGAGAGCCGAAGAAAGACGUGAUAAGCUGCGAUAAGCAGCGGUGAGGAGCAAAUAUCCGAUGACCCGCUGAUUUCUGAAUGGGGAAACCCGGCUGAGCAACCCUCAGUCACCAUAUGCUGAAUACAUAGGUAUAUGGAGGGAACCCGCUGAACUGAAACAUCUAAGUAGGCGGAGGAAGAGAAAGAAACAUCGAUUCUGUGAGUAGCGGCGAGCGAAAACGGAAGAGCCUAAACCGGAGCGCGUGCGUUCCGGGGUUCGGACUGCGACAUGUGAGCAAUAGGAUAACAGAACAGUCUGGGAAGUCAGACCAGAGAGGGUGAAAGUCCCGUAUGUGAAAUCCGAGUUGCAGCUAGCAGGAUCCAGAGUACCACGAGACACGAGAAACCUUGUGGGAAGGCAGGGAGACCACUCCCUAAGGCUAAAUACUACUCAGUGACCGAUAGCGCAUAGUACUGUGAAGGAAAGGUGAAAAGGACCCCGGGAGGGGAGUGAAAGAGAACCUGAAACCCUGUGUCUACAAGCUGUGGAAGAUCUUUACAUGAUCAACCGCGUACUUUUUGUAGAACGGUCCGGCGAGUUGCCAUGUCUGGCAAGGUUAAGUACUUAAGGUACGGAGCCGAAGUGAAAGCAAGUGUUAACAGCACGUAAAGUCAGACCGGGCAGACCCGAAACCGGGUGAUCUACCCAUGUCCAGGUUGAAGUUGCCGUAAAAGGCAAUGGAGGACCGAACGCACAUCCGUUGAAAAGGGUGGCGAUGAGGUGUGGGUAGGGGAGAAAUUCCAAUCGAACCCGGAGAUAGCUGGUUCUCCUCGAAAUAGCUUUAGGGCUAGCCUCAUAUUAGUCUUGCGGAGGUAGAGCACUGAAUAUCCUAGGGGGCGUCAAAGCUUACCGAAGAUUAUCAAACUCCGAAUGCCGUAAAGAUGAUGUAUGGGAGUCAGACUGCACGAGAUAAGUUGGGUAGUCAAAAGGGAAAGAGCCCAGACCUACAGCUAAGGUCCCAAAGUACGUGUUAAGUGGAAAAGGAUGUGGGAUUUCGAAGACAACUAGGAUGUUGGCUCAGAAGCAGCCAUACAUUCAAAGAGUGCGUAAUAGCUCACUAGUCGAGAGGUCCUGCGCCGAAAAUGUCCGGGGCUGAAACACGACACCGAAGCUUAGGAAUCGAAAGAUUGGUAGAGGAGCAUUGAAUACGGAACGAAGCAGUACCGGAAGGAGCUGUGGACUGUAUUGAAGAGAGAAUGCCGGAAUGAGUAGCGAGAUUUAAGUGAGAAUCUUAAAGGCCGAAUAUCUAAGGUUUCCAGGGUAAAGCUGAUCUUCCCUGGGUAAGUCGGGGCCUAAGGCGAGGACGAAAGUCGUAGUCGAUGGAUAACAGGUUGAAAUUCCUGUACCGCAUAUAUUCAGAAAUGUGGGGACACAGAUGGAGAGUACAGCCCGGGAAUGGAUAGACCGGGGCAAGCGAGGUAGGAGAAUGGCAGGCAAAUCCACCAUUCAAUCUGAAGACGUGACGCGUACCGAACAAGAGUAGGGAAGUGUAUGAGCCAGCUGUCGAGAAAAGCCGCUAUUGUGAUAUAUGCGCCCGUACCGUAAACCGACACAGGUGGAUGAGGAGAGAAUCCUAAGGCCGGCGGGAGAAGUGUUGUUAAGGAACUCGGCAAAAUGACCCCGUAACUUCGGGAGAAGGGGUGCCUCGGAAGAGGCCGCAGAGAAAUGGCCCAAGCAACUGUUUAGCAAAAACAUAGGUCUAUGCAAAACCGAAAGGUGAGGUAUAUGGGCUGACGCCUGCCCGGUGCUGGAAGGUUAAGAGGAGAGCUUAGCGCAAGCGAAGGUUUGAAUUUAAGCCCCAGUAAACGGCGGCCGUAACUAUAACGGUCCUAAGGUAGCGAAAUUCCUUGUCGGGUAAGUUCCGACCCGCACGAAAGGCGUAAUGAUUUGGGCACUGUCUCAACAACACACCCGGUGAAAUUGAAAUACCAGUGAAGAUGCUGGUUACCUGCGCCAGGACGGAAAGACCCCAUGGAGCUUUACUCCAGCUUGAUACUGGGAUUCGGUACUACCUGUACAGGAUAGGUGGGAGGCUUCGAUCACGGGACGCCAGUUUCGUGUGAGCCGCUGUUGGGAUACCACCCUUGUAGUACUGGAUUCCUAACCUACAGCCGUGAACCGGCUGGGGGACAAUGUCUGGCGGGGAGUUUGACUGGGGCGGUCGCCUCCGAAAGGGUAUCGGAGGCGCUCAAAGGUUCCCUCAGAAUGGUUGGAAACCAUUCGAAGAGUGCAAAGGCAGAAGGGAGCUUGACUGCGACACCGACGGGUGGAGCAGGUACGAAAGUAGGACUUAGUGAUCCGGUGGUAUAAAGUGGGAUUGCCAUCGCUCAACGGAUAAAAGCUACCCUGGGGAUAACAGGCUUAUCACUCCCAAGAGUUCACAUCGACGGAGUGGUUUGGCACCUCGAUGUCGGCUCAUCGCAUCCUGGAGCUGUAGCAGGUUCCAAGGGUUGGGCUGUUCGCCCAUUAAAGCGGUACGCGAGCUGGGUUCAGAACGUCGUGAGACAGUUCGGUCCCUAUCCGGCGUGGGCGUAGGAUAUUUGAGAGGAGCUGUCCUUAGUACGAGAGGACCGGGAUGGACGGACCGCUGGUGUAUCUGUUGUUGUACCAACAGCAUGGCAGAGUAGCCAAGUCCGGCAGGGAUAAACGCUGAAGGCAUCUAAGCGUGAAGCCCCCCUCAAGAUAAGAUAUCCCAUCAUAAGAGUAAGACCCCUUGAAGACUACAAGGUUGAUAGGCUUGGAGUGUAAUCGUGGCAACACGUUCAGCUGACAAGUACUAAUAGGUCGAGGGCUUAUCCUUAG
rnacentral:rRNA from 2 species